rnacentral:rRNA from 1 species
GACUGUGCAAAGGUAGCAUAAUCAUUAGUUUUUUAAUUGAAAGCUGGAAUGAAGGGUCGGAUGAGAAAGUUUCUGUCUCAGUAGUAUUUUCUUUGAAUUUUAUUUUUAAGUCAAAAAGCUUAGAUUUUAUAAAAAGACGAGAAGACCCUAUAGAGUUUAAUAGGUUUAUAAUGUAUUUAUUUGUAGGUAUAAAUUUAAUUACUUUAUAUCUUAUUUGGUUGGGGUGACUUAAGAAUUGAUUAAACUUCUUUAUUUAUUAACAUUGAUUAGUGAAUGGUUGAUCCUGAAUUUCGGAUUAUAAGAACAAAUUACCUUAGGGAUAACAGCGUAAUUUUUUUAGAGAGUUCUUAUCGAUAAAAAGGAUUGCGACCUCGAUGUUGGAUUAAAGUUAAAUUUUGGUGCAAAAGCUAGGGAUUUA